GAAUUUAUUUACUUUAUAAUCAGCCAGAUCAUUAGGGAAAUAAAUUCCCAUUGAAGAGGAGAGAAUCGAGCUCCAGUUCUUGGAUGACUUUGCUGCAGAAUAUUAAGAGCCACUCCAAUUUUUGAAACUCCUACUGUGUUUCCCUUGCCCCUACUUUCAACUGACUUCUAUGGCCAAGCAGUUUUCUGGAAUUUGUGUAAGAAAUGAGCUCUCAGUUCUGAAUGACGUGGUAGCAACCCUUUCGAGCAGGAGACAUCUCUCCUUUGUUUCACAAACUUUUGACAAUUAUGGUGAAGAUCUUUGAGGUGGCAUCUAAAAAUUUCAAUAAUUUGCAUUUAAUAUUGAGGAAUCCAGAUUUUUAUCUCUCUCUAACCGAAACAGAUAUUUGACUUGAUCAUCUCUAAUCUCUAUGAAGCCAGCACCAAUUUCUCCAACCUCUGGUGGGUGUGUUAAAAUUUCAAUUCUUUCUCAAAUUGUCUUGGGAUUGAAGAUCAGUUUUGGACUACAGCAUUGAGGCUUAAAUUUGCAAAGAAUUUAACAAUACAUCCUUAGUAACAAUUGUGGGUUUCUACCCCACCACCCCACCCAAAAAAAAAAAAAAAAAAAAAAAAAUUUUGACACAAGGUUGACUACAAGGUCUACAUUCCCCUUGUUUCUCCCUAUUGGGUGGAAGAACUGAAUCAGUUGGUCUAUUUCUCAUGAUUGUCUAAAGUUCCUUCCAAAAUGGAGCCAAAUUGGAACAAGUUUUCCGCUUUGGGAAGAAAGGAAAGAUUAAAAAAACAGAUCAUUAGGUUGAAUGGGCUGUGAUAGUCAUCAGGGAAAUGUAUUAGAAGUCUGAAUCAUGAAUUAUGAAAUCAGGUAAAUGUAUUAAAAAUUUGAAAUAUGAAUUGUGAAGCUUGGUUUUCUGAUUUCUA